AACGCACAUUGCGCCCGCCAGCACUCUGGCGGGCAUGCCUGUCCGAGCGUCAUUUCAACCCUCGAGCACCGCUCGGCGUUGGGGGAGCGGCCGCGCGCCGCCCCCCGAAAUGCAGUGGCGACACCGCCGCGUCCUCCCCUGCGCAGUAGCUCCACAGAGAAACCUCGCACCGGCGGCGCGGCGGCUGUCACGCCGUGAAACGUCCACCUAGAGUUGACCUCGGAUCAGGUAGGGAUACCCGCUGAACUUAA
rnacentral:misc_RNA from 1 species